rnacentral:rRNA from 1 species
AUUGAACGCUGGCGGCAGGCUUAACACAUGCAAGUCGAGCGAGCGGCGGCCGGGUGAGUAAUGUCUGGGAAACUGCCUGAUGGAGGGGGCUAACUACUGGAACCGGUCGCUAAUCCCGCAUAGCAUCAACGGUGCCCAGAUGGGAUUAGCUAGUAGGUGGGGUAAUGGCUCACCUUGGCGACGAUCCCUAGCUGGUCUGAGCGGAUGACCAGCCAAACUGGAAAUGAGACACGGUCCAGACGCCUACGGGAGGCAGCAGUGGGGAAUAUUGCACAAGGCGCGCAAGCCUGAUGCAGCCAUGCCGCGUGUGGGAAGAAGGCCGUCGGGUUGUAAAGCAAUUUCAGCGAGUAGGCGUUACUCGCAGAAGAAGCACCGGCUAACUCCGUGCCAGCAGCCGCGGUAAUAC